CCGUGACGCGGCCCGGCGACCGCCGGGCUCGCCCCACCCUCUGUGUACCACUGGUUGCUUCGGCGGGCCGCCUCGGCCGCUGGCCUCGCCGGCGAGCGCCCGCCGGAAGACCGCGAGACUCUGCUUCUGGUGACGUCGGAGCAUGCAGCGAAUUAUCA
rnacentral:misc_RNA from 1 species